CCGUAACUUCGGGAAAAGGAUUGGCUCUGAGGACUGGGCUCGGGGGUCCCGGCCCCGAACCCGUCGGCUGUUGGCGGAUUGCUCGAGCUGCUCACGCGGCGAGAGCGGGUCGCCGCGUGCCGGCCGGGUGCCGGACCGGGAAUCGCCCCUUCGGGAGCUUUCCCCGAGCAUGAAACAGUCGACUCAGAACUGGUACGGACAAGGGGAAUCCGACUGUUUAAUUAAAACAAAGCAUUGCGAUGGUCCUCGCGG
rnacentral:ncRNA from 1 species